rnacentral:rRNA from 1 species
UUGGAAGGCAAGUCUGGUGCCAGCAGCCGCGGUAAUUCCAGCUCCAAUAGCGUAUAUUAAAGUUGUUGCAGUUAAAAAGCUCGUAGUUGAAUUUCGGAGUUUGUCGGUUGGUCGGGCUUCAUUGUCCGCACUGGCCUGAUGGAUUCCUACCUUCUGAAUAACCAGCAUGCUAUUAAGUUAGUGCGUUGGGGAAGCAGAGCUAUUACCUUGAAAAAAUUAGAGUGCUUAAAGCAGGCUUAUGCUUGAAUAGAUUAGCAUGGAAUAAUAAAAUAGGACGGCAUGGUUCUAUUUUGUUGGUUUCUAGGAUCACCGUAAUGAUUAAUAGGGAUAGUUGGGGGCAUUAGUAUUCAAUUGUCAGAGGUGAAAUUCUUGGACUUAUUGAAGACUAACUUCUGCGAAAGCAUUUGCCAAGGAUGUUUUCAUUAAUCAAGAACGAAAGUUAGGGGAUCGAAGACGAUCAGAUACCGUCGUAGUCUUAACCAUAAACUAUGCCGACUAGGGAUCGGACGAUGUUAAUUUUUUAAUGACUCGUUCGGCGCCUUACGGGAAAC